rnacentral:rRNA from 1 species
CCUACGGGGGGCAGCAGUGGGGGAUAUUGCGCAAUGGGCGAAAGCCUGACGCAGCAAUGCCGCGUGAAGGAAGAAGGUCUUCGGAUUGUAAACUUCUGUUAAGAGGGAUGAAAAAAUGACAGUACCUCUAGAGGAAGCCCCGGCUAACUACGUGCCAGCAGCCGCGGUAAUACGUAGGGGGCGAGCGUUGUCCGGAAUCACUGGGCGUAAAGCGCGCGUAGGUGGUUAAUUAAGUCAGGUGUUAAAAUGCGGGGCUCAACCCCGUAAUGCACUUGAAACUGGUUAACUUGAGGGCAGGAGAGGAAAGUGGAAUUCCUAGUGUAGCGGUGAAAUGCGUAGAUAUUAGGAGGAACACCAGUGGCGAAGGCGACUUUCUGGCCUGACCCUGACACUGAGGUGCGAAAGCGUGGGGAGCAAACAGGAUUAGAUACCCCUGUAGUCC